rnacentral:misc_RNA from 1 species
AGAAGCGUGUGACGUCAUCGUGACGUAAUGGGAUCAUCUCCGGGAGGAUCUUUUUGGACUCUUCGGAAGGUGUAACAAAGAUGGCGUCCGUGGCGGAGCCCCUCACUCUCCAGCAAGAUGUCAAGAGAGCUGUCGAGCUGCUCGAUAAACUUCAAAAGACUGGGGAAAUACCAUCUGCAAAGUUAGCAGCACUCCAGCGUGUUCUUCAGUCUGAGUUUCUAACUGCAGUGCGGGAAGUGUACGAACAUGUGUACGAGACUGUGGACAUUUCUGGCUCUCCAGAAAUUCGAGCUUCUGCCACAGCAAAAGCAACAGUUGCUGCAUUUGCUGCCAGUGAGGGUCAUGCUCAUCCACGAGUUGUUGAAUUGCCCAAGACCGACGAAGGCCUCGGGUUUAAUGUGAUGGGCGGCCGCGAACAAAAUUCUCCCAUAUAUAUAUCUCGUAUCAUCCCAGGUGGCGUUGCUGACCGACAUGGUGGGCUGAAAAGAGGCGAUCAGCUUCUCUCUGUCAAUGGAGUGAGUGUUGAGGGUGAGAACCAUGAGCGUGCUGUGGAGUUGCUGAAGGCUGCCAGUGGCUCCGUUAAACUGGUGGUCCGCUACACCCCCCGAGUCUUGGAGGAGAUGGAGAUGCGCUUCGACAAACAGCGGGCGUCACGUAGGCGAACUUCCCAGUUACAGUAGAGAACCCCCUAGUGAAGGACUGGCGUGGGCUGAUGUCACUCCGUGCGAGAGAUGGGGAACAGGCAGAGAGCCAGCCAGGUGGAGGACAGUGGAACUGAACACCGUGAUGCAGAGUACAACCCAGCGGAGCAAGUUACACUUGAAGACCAAAGAUUGACUGACUCUUCCAUUUUGAGAUAGCAUUAGUUAAUAAAUAUUUACUCCAUAUUCAAGAGGACUCUGUUAAAAGAAUUUUCUUUCCCCAUCACUUCAGCGUUGUCUUGAAAACCUCAUAAAGUGUUACAUAGGUUUGUGCUCUCUUGUACUUAUUGAAGAGUAUUUUCCUGAUUUGAUGUUAAGGUUCACAUGUAUAAAUUGAUGCUUUUAGAGGGUGUUCACCAUUUUUUUAUAAAUUAUAGUGAUUUGAAAUAUUGACCUUGGAGAAUCUCUUUUAAGAUAAACAUUGUUACUAUAUUACACACAGAAAUCACAAUAGUGUGAUGCAACAAAUGAACUAAUCCACAAUCCACAAGGUUCGAACCCGCGUCACGGCCCUUGUGGAUUUGUUCAUUGUUACUAUAUUCCUAGCUUCAGACACAGCUGAUUGAAGUUUAAGUGUCUUCUAAUUUUAAUGAAACUGUGAAUGUUAAAUGUAAAGCCUUAAUUAGUGAAUAUUCAGCAUUUUGUAUUAUGCAAGAAAGUUUGAAUUGAGGACAUAAUGAGUCUACAGUGAUUAAACUAUUCUAUGUUCGUAUUAAGUGGGGAGAAAGUGUUGGCAAUAAGGUAGAGAUACACCAUGUUACGAGUAAACAUGUUUGGCAGAGGACAGCUUUCAUUCGUACUGUCUGUAUGAGUUCUUACGAGGAACACAUUCCUUCCCAUCCCAGAUCCUCAUCCUGAUCCCUUCCCAGUGUUAUAUAGUCAUAAUGACUUGGCACUUUCUCUCGAUAGUUCCCUGCCCAUCUUCACCUUGCCAUUUUCCUUAAGAAGCAGCUGUCCUGUGUAGCUCUGCUUGAUUUCAUAAACCCCCACUCAGGCAAAACUUUGUGUUCAGUAAAGUCUACCUUUAACAUGAAUGUAUUUACUCAUUUUUAUUACUAAUUUAGUUUACUCCCUCUAAUGAAAAUAUUGAACCAUGCCAUAGUAUUUUUAUUGAUUUGAAUACAAUAUUUUCUCCAAUUUAUAGAACAGUUAUCUAGUUUAACUUAGAUUAUGAACAAAUGUACUGAAAGUGGCAUUUGUGAUGUUUUUGAGGCAAGGCUGGGAAUAAACUUGGGUGAAUCACUAAUUAUUGAGAGCCAUAUGAUUUUCAUAUUUGUAGUUAGUAACAAAAUUACAUAGAAAUUAACUUAAAUCUUCCUUGUUUGUUUUCUCUUUCUCCAGAGGAACCAAACUUCACUUUACUUUUUAAAACAUUUAACAUUUUCAUAGAGAAAUUAUGCAGAUUAGUGACAUUAACAAAAUAACCUGAAGUAGUCAGUAGUUAAAUAAAGAAAAUAUUGUUUGGCAAAAUGAUUUUGGUUCAAAAUUUUCUAAUUAAUUUUGCCAUUGUUACUGCUACAUCCAUGUUCAUUAAUAUAUACUGGCUAGCCUUUGUUAAUAAAUUUUAUUUUCUCGAGUUUAAAGUUAUUAUUUCCGAGCACUUCCAUGUUUCAUCUUGAAUGCAAUCUCUGCUAAGGAGCUGAUAAAUGAGGAAAUAUUAUUGAGGCAUAAGGCAAAAAAGCUUUGUUACUGUCAGAUCAGUUAAUUAGCAUAUUUGCCAGUGGAUAGGAAACAAGUUUUUCAAAAUCAAAUUUAUACAAAUAUUACCUUGCUUCUGAUUCACCUGGAUAGAAGCUGGCUCUGUAGGUGCGAGGCACCUGACUGGUAUGAUGAAGCCUACUAAAUUAUUUUUUCCCCACAAAAUGUGUCCUUGUAAAAUAGGGGGUUUCUUGUAUGUCGUAAAUUAUGGUACAUAGUUGAUGGGGUUUUGGGAGUUGUUCUACUCCCCAAGCCCAGCCCGAGGCCAGGCUUGACUUGUGAGAGUUUGGUCCACUAGCUCUCACAAGUCAAGCCUGGCCUCGGGCCGGGCUUGGGGAGUAGAAGAACUCCCAGAACCCCAUUAACCAGGUAUCAACCAGGUACCAGACCCUAGAUGAGGAACCACUGCUGAAGGAUAGUAUUUGUGGGGAGAUUGGUCACAACAACUGCCUGUACUGUAUAUGCACACGUGACUUAAAAGGUCUGCCAGUCCAACCUAAGCGGGAUAAAACUAGCCUCUUGUACUUUUGCGUGCAUUUCGUCAGUGUUGCGCACUGGUGCCCCUACAAUGUAGUAGGUCCUGUAAUCUAGUCUUGGUUAAAAUUAAUAUUUACGGAUGUUGCAUUUAAAAAGUCUAAUUUUUUGUUAAUCGUUUUGACUAAUCCCUAACUGCGAGAUUCAGCUCGAUAAGCAAUUUCGUUGUUAAUGUGGCAUGUAUUGUAACCUAGCUACUAGUAUAGUACUUGUAAUGUGUUUGGAUUUGUAAAAUUGAAUUUUUAAUUACAAAACAGAUUUAUAUACAUUGGUUAUGAUGCAGAAUGAUAGUGAUGCAAUGAUGGUUAUAUUGUAGAUUACCGAGAGAGAAUAUAUAUCAUAAUUCAUACCUAUAAUUUAUGAGUACGUACUUUUUAGCAGUUCAGUACUUCCCAGGAGAAUGAACGAACUAAAUGAUUGCCGGUGGUUUCUGGGUGUUAAUUUAGACGACAUUUAUGUACCGUAGUUGUACCUAACAUUUUUCAGCUAAUAUACUAAACUGGAAUACUCUUAAAUAUUAUUUUGUUACGUUUUGAUAGAUAAUAUCUAUUGGUCAUGAUUGAGGUUCAAUAAAAAAAGUUUACUUUGCAUUGUCUAUCCAUUUUUGUUGUUGUCAUGACUUAAUAACGAUUCCUUUAGCUUUUACUAAUUUGCACCAUAUUAUUUUGGAAAUAUUUCAUUGUAACAUUCCAUGUGAAAAGCAAACAAAUAAAUGAGAAAUAUUUGGGA